AUACGUAGGUGGCGAGCGUUGUCCGGAAUUACUGGGCGUAAAGGGCGUGUAGGCGGCCAUUUAAGUCAGAUGUGAAAUACCAUGGCUUAACCAUGGGACUGCAUUUGAGACUGGAUGGCUUGAGGAUCGGAGAGGGCAGUGGAAUUCCCAGUGUAGCGGUGAAAUGCGUAGAUAUUGGGAGGAACACCAGUGGCGAAGGCGACUGCCUGGACGACACCUGACGCUGAGGCGCGAAAGCUAGGGGAGCAAACGGGAUUAGAUACCCCGGUAGUCCUAGCCGUAAACGAUGGGUACUAGGUGUGGGAGGUAUCGACCCCUUCCGUGCCGCAGUUAACACAAUAAGUACCCCGCCUGGGGAGUACGGCCGCAAGGUUGAA
rnacentral:rRNA from 1 species